rnacentral:misc_RNA from 1 species
GAUGAAGAACGCAGCGAAAUGCGAUACUUGGUGUGAAUUGCAGAAUCCCGUGAACCAUUGAGUCUUUGAACGCAAGUUGCGCCCGAAGCCAUCAGGUUGAGGGCACGUCUGCCUGGGCGUCACAUAUCGUUGCCCAAUGCCUAUUGCAGUGCGAUAGGAAUUUCUAGGGCGAAUGAUGGCUUCCCGUGAGCGUUGUUGCCUCGCGGUUGGUUGAAAAUCGAGUCCUUGGUAGGGUGUGCCAUGGUAGAUGGUGGUCGAGUUAGAACGAUACCGAUCAUGUGCAUGCUCCCCAAAAUAUGGCCUCUAUGACCCACACGCGUCUUUUGACGCUCAUGACGAGACCUCAGGUCAGGCGGGGCUACCCGCUGAAUUUAAGCAUAUCAAUAAGCGGAGGA